GUGCUCACUUCUGCAACACAUAUACUAAAAUUGGAACAAUAUACAGAAGAUUAGCAUGACCCCUGGGCAAGGAUGACAUGCAAAUUCAUGAAGUGCUCCAUAUUAAA
ensembl:snRNA U6 U6 spliceosomal RNA